UUAACAAUUCCGCUGCAACCGAUUCUAACAAAUUGCUCUUCUGUGGUGGAACAACAACAUCCUCUUCUUCAUCAGUAAGCUCAAUUUCAUCAUCCCUGUGAACUUUGAUUCUCUCUUAAUAGGGAGGACACUGCUUAUUUUCUAAAGGUAACACAGUUACUUCAUCAACCUCUUUUUCCGUGUAAUUCUCCUCUUCUUCAUCUUUACUGCUCAUGGGUUCAAAGAAUUCACCCAUUAACAUCUCCUCUUCUUCACUGUUCACAACAUGGAACAUGGAAUGGUUCAAUAUCUUCCUCCUAACCAUCCUGACUGUCUGCGUCCCAACCACUCUGGCUUGUAAUAAUCUUGUAUCCUCUUAGGGUUAGCUUCAGUGCUAGCCCUAAACUGGGUUUUCUCUGUAAUUUCUAUCCUUGUUACCAGCUGCCCAAUUUGUGACUCCAGUGAUUUAAAGUUAGCCUGAUUGUUAUUCACCUGCUGCUCAUAUCUUUUGUAGAAGUCAUCAAAUUGACUACUCAAGGUCCUGACAGACUCAGUCAAAUUACUCAUUUGCUGCCACAGAGGUAAUGGUUGUUGCUGCCGGAAGUUUCCUCCUUGUCCAGAAGAAGUAUUCUGGCUCUGCCCAAUACUUGGAUGAUUUUUCCAACCUUGGUU
rnacentral:lncRNA from 1 species